GAUGAACGCUGGCGGCGUGCCUAAUACAUGCAAGUCGAGCGAACAGACGAGGAGCUUGCUCCUCUGACGUUAGCGGCGGACGGGUGAGUAACACGUGGAUAACCUACCUAUAAGACUUGGAUAACUUCGGGAAACCGGAGCUAAUACCGGAUAAUAUAUUGAACCGCAUGGUUCAAUAGUGAAAGACGGUUUUGCUGUCACUUAUAGAUGGAUCCGCGCCGCAUUAGCUAGUUGGUAAGGUAACGGCUUACCAAGGCGACGAUGCGUAGCCGACCUGAGAGGGUGAUCGGCCACACUGGAACUGAGACACGGUCCAGACUCCUACGGGAGGCAGCAGUAGGGAAUCUUCCGCAAUGGGCGAAAGCCUGACGGAGCAACGCCGCGUGAGUGAUGAAGGUCUUCGGAUCGUAAAACUCUGUUAUUAGGGAAGAACAAAUGUGUAAGUAACUAUGCACGUCUUGACGGUACCUAAUCAGAAAGCCACGGCUAACUACGUG
rnacentral:rRNA from 1 species